UAGUGGGCGGGGCUUCCUCGAGUUCCGGAGUCCAGUCGCUGGCCGCCUUGCUGGAGCGGACAUGCAGCCGCCGCCCCGAAAAGUGAAGCCGGCCCAGGAGGUGAAGCUUCGCUUCCUGGAACAGCUGAGCAUCCUUCAGACCCGGCAGCAGAGGGAGGCGGAUCUGCUGGAGGACAUCAGAUCCUACAGCAAGCAGAGGGCAGCCAUUGAACGGGAGUAUGGGCAGGCACUCCAGAAACUGGCUGGCCCAUUCCUGAAGAGGGAAGGGCACCGGAGCAGUGAGAUGGACAGCAGGACAGUGUUCGGUGCCUGGCGCUGCCUGCUGGAUGCCACUGUGGCUGGGGGCCAAACCCGGCUCCAGGCGUCCGACCGAUACCGUGACCUAGCAGGGGGUACAGGGCGGAGCGCCAAGGAGCAGGUGCUUAGGAAGGGAACAGAGAACCUCCAGAGGGCACAGGCUGAGGUGCUGCAGUCUGUCCGGGAUCUGAGCCGAAGUCGGAAGCUGUAUGGGCAGCGGGAACGUGUGUGGGCCUUGGCACAGGAGAAGGCAGCUGAUGUCCAGGCCAGGCUAAACCGAAGUGACCAUGGGAUCUUCCACUCUCGGACCAGUCUCCAGAAACUGAGCACCAAGCUGUCCGCCCAGUCAGCCCAGUACUCCCAGCAGUUGCAAGCAGCCCGCAAUGAGUACCUGCUUAACUUGGUGGCUACCAAUGCUCACCUCGACCAUUACUACCAGGAGGAACUGCCAGCUCUGCUCAAGGCCCUGGUCAGUGAGCUGUCAGAGCACUUGAGGGACCCCCUGACCUCCCUGAGCCGCACUGAGCUGGAAGCCACAGAGGUCAUCCUGGAGCAUGCCCACCGCGGGGAGCAGACAACCUCCCAGGUAAGCUGGGAGCAAGACCUGAAGCUGUUUCUUCAGGAGCCUGGCGUAUUUUCCCCCACCCCACCUCAGCAGUUUCAGCCAGCAGGGACUGAUCAGGUGUGUGUCCUGGAGUGGGGAGCAGAAGGCGUGGCUGGCAAAAGUGGCCUGGAGAAAGAGGUUCAGCGCUUGACCAGCCGAGCUGCCCGUGACUACAAGAUCCAGAACCAUGGGCAUCGGGUACUGCAACGACUGGAGCAGAGGCGGCAGCAGGCUUCAGAGCGGGAGGCUCCAAGCAUAGAACAGAGGUUACAGGAAGUGCGAGAGAGCAUCCGCCGGGCACAGGUGAGCCAGGUGAAGGGGGCUGCCCGGCUGGCUCUGCUGCAGGGGGCUGGCUUAGAUGUGGAGCGCUGGCUGAAGCCAGCCAUGACCCAGGCCCAGGAUGAGGUGGAGCAGGAGCGGCGGCUCAGCGAGGCUCGGCUGUCCCAGAGGGACCUCUCUCCAACCGCUGAGGAUGCUGAGCUUUCUGACUUUGAGGAAUGUGAGGAGACGGGAGAGCUCUUUGAGGAGCCUGCCCCCCAAGCCCUGGCCACUAGGCCCCUCCCCUGCCCUGCACAUGUGGUAUUUCGCUAUCAGGCAGGGCGUGAGGAUGAGCUGACAAUCACGGAGGGUGAGUGGCUGGAGAUCAUAGAGGAGGGAGAUGCUGACGAAUGGGUCAAGGCUCGGAACCAGCACGGCGAGGUAGGCUUUGUCCCUGAGCGGUAUCUCAACUUCCCGGACCUCUCCCUCCCAGAGAGCAGCCAAGACAGUGACAAUCCCUGCGGGGCAGAGCCCACAGCAUUCCUGGCACGGGCCCUGUACAGCUACACCGGACAGAGUGCAGAGGAGCUGAGCUUCCCUGAAGGGGCACUGAUCCGUCUGCUGCCCCGGGCCCAAGAUGGAGUAGAUGACGGCUUCUGGAGGGGAGAAUUUGGGGGCUGUGUUGGGGUCUUCCCCUCCCUGCUGGUGGAAGAGCUGCUUGGCCCCCCAGGGCCACCUGAACUCUCUGACCCUGAGCAGAUGCUGCCGUCCCCUUCUCCUCCCAGCUUCUCCCCACCUGCACCUACCUCUGUGUUGGAUGGGCCCCCUGCACCUGUCCUGCCUGGGGGUGAGUGGACGGAAUUGGGAGCCCUGGGAGGCUAACAGACAGGAAGAAGGAGGAAGCUUGGACUCCCAGGUCACGCUCUGGUCCUCACCGUGCCCUCAGGCAUCUUGCUUGGUGGAGAGCACUUGCCUGGGCUCUGGAGCCAGGCUGACUGGUUCAGGUCCUGCUCUGUCAUUUCCAAGUGUGUGGUGGGAUUCUGAACCCGUCUUGGCGUCAGUUUAUGUUCUUUAUGAGGUAAGGAAAAGGUACUAGCUCAUUGAAUUCUUAUGAGAGUUAAAAAAGAUGCCUGUGGACUACACAGCAUUGUGCCUGGCACACAGUAAGUAUGCAGUCACUGUUAUUAUUUUAAAAAUUAGCUAACUUCUCUCACGGUGUCCUCCCAAUAUGCACCUUUUGCUCCUGGUGUCCAGAUACCUAGCUUUGUAUCAUUAUUUUUUCUGAUGCCCACUUUUUAUUCUUUUUUAAAUGUCUAUAGCAGUUUUAUUUUAUUAUUAUUUAUUUUAGAUUCAGGAGGUACAUGUGCUUGUUUGUCAUAUGGAUAUAUUGCAUACUGGUGGAGAUUGGGCUUCUAGUGUACCUGUUACUCAAAUAGUGAACAUUGUACCUGAUAGACAAAGCCCUGGACUUCCCUGGGUUCCUGGACAUGAUGGCACCUCGACUCAGGCCG